rnacentral:tRNA from 1 species
GCGCCCGUAGCUCAACCGGACGAGCACCGGCCUUCAAGCCGGGGGUGGAGUUCAAGUCUCGCCGGGCGCGCCA